rnacentral:rRNA from 1 species
AACGCUGGCGGCGUGCCUAAUACAUGCAAGUCGAACGGUCUUUCUAUGGAAGCUUGCUUCCACUGAGAAGAUAGUGGCGAACGGGUGAGUAACACGUGGGUAACCUGCCCAUAAGAGGGGGAUAACAUCCGGAAACGGGUGCUAAUACCGCAUAGUUUUCUUGAUCGCAUGAUUGAGAAAGGAAAGACGGCCUUUGUGCUGUCGCUUAUGGAUGGACCCGCGGCGUAUUAGUUAGUUGGUGAGGUAAUGGCUCACCAAGACGAUGAUACGUAGCCGACCUGAGAGGGUGAUCGGCCACAUUGGGACUGAGACACGGCCCAAACUCCUACGGGAGGCAGCAGUAGGGAAUCUUCCGCAAUGGACGAAAGUCUGACGGAGCAACGCCGCGUGAGUGAAGAAAGGUUUUCGGAUCGUAAAACUCUGUUGUCAGAGAAGAACAAGUUGGAGAGUAACUGCUCCAGCCUUGACGGUAUCUGACCAGAAAGCCACGGCUAACUACGUGCCAGCCGCUGC